rnacentral:RNase_P_RNA from 2 species
CUUCUGUCGCAGACAAUCGCGCGGUUCCGGAGAAAUCCGGAAAGUGAGGAAAGUCCGGACUCCAUAAAAGCAGGGAUGCCGGGAUGAUAUCCCGGGUGAUAUAUUCCCAAGAAUAUAUUGCAGACCGUGUUACAGAGAAGAAGACUUUUUCAUUGCGAAAGCAAUGGAAUAAAGGUGAAACGGCAGGGUAAGAGCCUACCAUUCUGAGAGCAAUCUCAGAGAUUGACAUACUCAUCCGGAGCAAUACCAAAUACAGGGAGAUUAAAGCACUGCUUGCUUAAACAUUCUCCCGGGGUAGGUUGCAAAGUGGUUAACAGUAAUGUUAAUCCAAGAUAAAUGAUUGUCAUUUGUUUUCGGACAAAACAGAAUCCGGCUUAUGCGGCAGAAGGAUU